rnacentral:rRNA from 1 species
GACGUAGGGGGCGAGCGUUGUCCGGAUUCAUUGGGCGUAAAGCGCGCGUAGGCGGCCCGGUAAGUCGGAUGUGAAAUCUCACGGCUCAACCGUGGAACUGCAUUCGAAACUGUCGGGCUAGAGGCAGGUAGGGGAGAUCGGAAUUCCCGGUGUAGCGGUGAAAUGCGCAGAUAUCGGGAGGAACACCGGCGGCGAAGGCGGUUCUCUGGGCCUUACCUGACACUGAGGAGCGAAAGCGUGGGGAGCGAACAGG